AGCGAACGCUGGCGGCAGGCCUAACACAUGCAAGUCGAACGAACCUUUCGGGGUUAGUGGCGGACGGGUGAGGAACACGUGGGAACGUGCCUUUAGGUUCGGGAUAACUCAGGGAAACUUGUGCUAAUACCGAAUGUGCCCUGCGGGGGAAAGAUUUAUCGCCUUUAGAGCGGCCCGCGUCUGAUUAGCUAGUUGGUUGAGGUAAUGGCUCACCAAGGCGACGAACAGUAGCUGGUCUGAGAGGAUGAUCAGCCACAUUGGGACUGAGACACGGCCCAAACUCCUACGGGAGGCAGCAGUGGGGAAUCUUGCGCAAUGGGCGAAAGGCUGACGCAGCCAUGCCGCGUGAAUGAUGAAGGUCUUAGGAUUGUAAAAUUCUUUCACCGGGGACGAUAAUGACGGUACCCGGAGAAGAAGCCCCGGCUAACUUCGUG
rnacentral:rRNA from 1 species